rnacentral:lncRNA from 1 species
UUUGGGGCUGAUUGGGGGGGUUUGGGGCUGAUUCGGGGCGGUUUGGGGCUGAUUCGGGGCUGAAUCAGGGCAGUCUGGGCUGGCUUGGUGCUAUAUUGGUACAGAUUGUGACUCAUCCAGGGCAUUUUGGGGCUGAUUCCGGGGGUUUUGGGGCUGAUUCAAGGGGUUUUGGGGGGGGCACUGGGACAAAAUGGUGGCCCCACGUGCUGGCGGCCAUUUUAGGGCCGGGGAAGGGGGGGGGAGGCACAGGGCACACGCGUGUGCCCUCGUGUUGCACGGGGACCCCUCAUUAGUGCUAAUGAGCUAACGGUGCCAGCUGUGCCUUGCUCACCGUGCCUCUUUUGGGGUGAAUCCUGCAGUUUUAGGGUCACCUCCGCUGCCUGCCUGCACCCGAAGGGACGCUUCUCUUUGUGGGCGCACCCCGGAUGCAAAAAAUCCGAAUAUUUCACGAUUUAACCUCACUUUCCUCACUCGCACACUGUCUCCUUUGUUCCUCUAAACCCUGCUUAUUUUAGAAUAAUUUUACUACAUUUUUUUAAUACAAAUCUCAGCACUCCCCCCUCCCCCCCCAGCAGCAAAAUCUGUGCAUCCUGAAACACUACUUUUUUAUUUUUUUCAAGGGAGAAGCAGCAAUUCGGGGAUUUUGUUCUUUCUGGCUGCGUUUAAAGGGGGGAAUUUGUAAAUAUUUAUGGUGCUUAAUCGUGAAAUAAACGUUUAACACAUUUAGGGAGUAGAAAGAUGUAUUUUUGGGGGGGGGGGGAUAGCGAACGGUUCGCUUUCCGUGAAGGAAAACUGUGAGGAAACGCCAUUUUCCUCCCAUUUCCUCAGAGGACGGGGAUGCUUUUGAAACGCCCUGGAAACACGGCGGAAAAACUCGUCCGUUGCCCAGUGACCGCCCGCGUCAUCGCCUCGUCAGCCGCAUUAAUUGGCCCUAAUUACUGGUUUCCCACAUUUUUUGGGGGGGUGUCCUCACUAGCAGCGAUUUUGGGGUGUCAUUACCUGCGACAUGGGAGCGGGGGCUGCCCGGAAAUGCCUCAAAAUGCCGCAAACAGGGAUUUUUUUUUUGCUUAAAAAUGGCCAGCAUGGCUGAGGCUGCGCAAUGACUCAGCAUGGCCUUGAAAUUGUAGAAAAUGAGGAGAUUUGGGGGUAUUUUAAUGAAAAAAAUACAUUAAGAGGCUUCGUGCUUUGAUGGGAAGCGGGGUGGGGAUGAAAAAGGUUUGUCUGAGCUUUGUCGAAAGGGGGGAAUUAAAAAGGGGG